AAGUCGUAACAAGGUAACCGUAGGUGAACCUGCGGUUGGAUCAUUAACAAAAAAAAAAUUGGAAGGUUUUUCUUGAAUACUUGUUCGGAAAAGCCUUUUAAAAACACCAAUUGUGAACUGUAUUAUUGUUUCUUUUCUGUGGUUUUAAUCAUGAACUAUAUAAAAGUGUGUUUUUUUACGCGCUGGUUUUGUGAUUGCCCCAGAAAAAACCUUUUUAAACUAAAGAUAUAUACCAUUUUGACCAUUAAAUAAAAGUUUGAAAUUUUUUUUAAACAUUAAAUAAAUUAAAAAAACAACUUUUGGCAACGGAUCUCUAGGCUCUU
rnacentral:misc_RNA from 1 species